AAAGAAUUAGUUAAAUAUAUAACAUAAAUAUGUCAAAUUUAAAUUAUUAUAAAUAAUUAAAUAAUAUUCUUUU
rnacentral:tRNA from 2 species